rnacentral:lncRNA from 1 species
AAAAUCAUCUCGUUUAUUUUGAUUUUCCUUCAUUUCUUCUUGGAGUACAUAAGCCUAAAUUUGGUUCGUUGUACUUGUGUUUUGGAGUGCUACAAACACAAGUGUAGCCGUUGUAUCUUGGGAGUCGAUUGCCGAAAUCCGUAGGCACCAUUGCGGGGCAAAUUCGACUUAAGGACAAAGAGUCCAACUCUUGCCUCGGCUUUGUC